CUGCUCAGACGACGCUGCGGCGUGCCUAAUACAUGCAAGUCGAGCGGACAGAAGGGAGCUUGCUCCCGGAUGUUAGCGGCGGACGGGUGAGUAACACGUGGGUAACCUGCCUGUAAGACUGGGAUAACUCCGGGAAACCGGAGCUAAUACCGGAUAGUUCCUUGAACCGCAUGGUUCAAGGAUGAAAGACGGUUUCGGCUGUCACUUACAGAUGGACCCGCGGCGCAUUAGCUAGUUGGUGAGGUAACGGCUCACCAAGGCGACGAUGCGUAGCCGACCUGAGAGGGUGAUCGGCCACACUGGGACUGAGACACGGCCCAGACUCCUACGGGAGGCAGCAGUAGGGAAUCUUCCGCAAUGGACGAAAGUCUGACGGAGCAACGCCGCGUGAGUGAUGAAGGUUUUCGGAUCGUAAAGCUCUGUUGUUAGGGAAGAACAAGUGCAAGAGUAACUGCUUGCACCUUGACGGUACCUAACCAGAAAGCCACGGCUAACUACGUGCCAGCAGCCGCGGUAAUACGUAGGUGGCAAGCGUUGUCCGGAAUUAUUGGGCGUAAAGGGCUCGCAGGCGGUUUCUUAAGUCUGAUGUGAAAGCCCCCGGCUCAACCGGGGAGGGUCAUUGGAAACUGGGACACUUCCCCCGCAGAAGAGGAGAGUGGAAUUCCACGUGUAGCGGUGAAAUGCGUAGAGAUGUGGAGGAACACCAGUGGCGAAGGCGACUCUCUGGUCUGUAACUGACGCUGAGGAGCGAAAGCGUGGGGAGCGAACAGGAUUAGAUACCCUGGUAGUCCACGCCGUAAACGAUGAGUGCUAAGUGUUAGGGGGUUUCCGCCCCUUAGUGCUGCAGCUAACGCAUUAAGCACUGCGCCUGGGGAGUACGGUCGCAAGACUGAAACUCAAAGGAAUUGACGGGGGCCCGCACAAGCGGUGGAGCAUGUGGUUUAAUGCGAAGCAACGCGAAGAACCUUACCAGGUCUUGACAUCCUCUGACAACCCUAGAGAUAGGGCUUUCCCUUCGGGGACAGAGUGACAGGUGGUGCAUGGUUGUCGUCAGCUCGUGUCGUGAGAUGUUGGGUUAAGUCCCGCAACGAGCGCAACCCUUGAUCUUAGUUGCCAGCAUUCAGUUGGGCACUCUAAGGUGACUGCCGGUGACAAACCGGAGGAAGGUGGGGAUGACGUCAAAUCAUCAUGCCCCUUAUGACCUGGGCUACACACGUGCUACAAUGGACAGAACAAAGGGCUGCGAGACCGCAAGGUUUAGCCAAUCCCACAAAUCUGUUCUCAGUUCGGAUCGCAGUCUGCAACUCGACUGCGUGAAGCUGGAAUCGCUAGUAAUCGCGGAUCAGCAUGCCGCGGUGAAUACGUUCCCGGGCCUUGUACACACCGCCCGUCACACCACGAGAGUUUGCAACACCCGAAGUCGGUGAGGUAACCUUUAUGGAGCCAGCCGCCGAAGGUGGGGCAGAUGAUUGGGGUGAAGUCGUACAAGGGUAACCAAUAGGAGUUUGAUCCUGGCUCAGUAAGUCGUAACAAGGUAACCAUAGAGUUUGAUCCUGGCUCAGUAAGUCGUAA
rnacentral:rRNA from 1 species